GACAGAGGGUGCAAACGUUGUUCGGAAUUACUGGGCGUAAAGCGCGUGUAGGCGGCUAAGUAAGUCGGGCGUGAAAUCCCACGGCUCAACCGUGGAAGUGCACUCGAAACUGCAUAGCUAGAGUCCUGGAGAGGAAGGUGGAAUGCUUGGUGUAGAGGUGAAAUUCGUAGAUAUUCGGAGGAACACCAGUGGCGAAGGCGGCUCACUGGUCCAUUACUGACGCUGAGGUGCGAAAGCGUGGGGAGCAAACAGG
rnacentral:rRNA from 1 species